UCCGGAGUGCAGCCUCGCCCACAGGCAGGCCUAACCUCCCACCCGUGAAUACCUGACCAACGUUGCUUCGGCGGUGCGCGCCCCCUUCCCGGGGGGCGUAAGCCGCCGGGGACCACACCGAACUUCUUGUUUUUAGCGUGUCGUCUGAGCUUGAUACAAGCAAACCUAAUUAAAACUUUCAACAAUGGAUCUCUUGGUUCCGGCAUCGAUGAAGAACGCAGCGAACUGCGAUAAGUAAUGUGAAUUGCAGAAUUCAGUGAAUCAUCGAGUCUUUGAACGCACAUUGCGCCCCCUGGCAUUCCGGGGGGCAUGCCUGUCCGAGCGUCAUUGCUGCCCUUCAAGCCCGGCUUGUGUGUUGGGUCGUCGUCCCCCCCGGGGGACGGGCCCGAAAGGCAGCGGCGGCACCGCGUCCUGGUCCUCGAGCGUAUGGGGCUUUGUCACCCGCUCGUUUAGGGCCGGCCGGGCGCCAGCCGGCGUCUCCAAACCUUUUAUUUUACCAGGUUGACCUCGGAUCAGGUAGGGAUACCCGCUGAACUUAAGCAUAUCAAUAAGGCGGAGGA
rnacentral:rRNA from 1 species